rnacentral:rRNA from 1 species
ACUCCUACGGGAGGCAGCAGUGGGGAAUAUUGCACAAUGGGGGAAACCCUGAUGCAGCCAUGCCGCGUGUGUGAAGAAGGCCUUCGGGUUGUAAAGCACUUUCAGUAGGGAGGAAAGGAUGUAGUUUAAUACGCUAUAUCUGUGACGUUACCUACAGAAGAAGGACCGGCUAACUCCGUGCCAGCAGCCGCGGUAAUACA